rnacentral:rRNA from 1 species
GUGAUCCGGUGGUUCUGAAUGGAAGGGCCAUCGCUCAACGGAUAAAAGGUACUCCGGGGAUAACAGGCUGAUACCGCCCAAGAGUUCAUAUCGACGGCGGUGUUUGGCACCUCGAUGUCGGCUCAUCACAUCCUGGGGCUGAAGUAGGUCCCAAGGGUAUGGCUGUUCGCCAUUUAAAGUGGUACGCGAGCUGGGUUUAGAACGUCGUGAGACAGUUCGGUCCCUAUCUGCCGUGGGCGCUGGAGAACUGAGGGGGGCUGCUCCUAGUACGAGAGGACCGGAGUGGACGCAUCACUGGUGUUCGGGUUGUCAUGCCAAUGGCACUGCCCGGUAGCUAAAUGCGGAAGAGAUAAGUGCUGAAAGCAUCUAAGCACGAAACUUGCCCCGAGAUGAGUUCUCCCUGACCCUUUAAGGGUCCUGAAGGAACGUUGAAGACGACGACGUUGAUAGGCCGGGUGUGUAAGCGCAGCGAUGCGUUGAGCUAACCGGUACUAAUGAACCGUGAGGCUUAACCUUACAACGCCGAAG